rnacentral:tRNA from 1 species
GGGCCGCUAGCUCAACUGGCAGAGCAACGGACUUUUAAUCCGUGGGUUCUGGGUUCGAGUCCCAGGCGGCUCACCA